rnacentral:rRNA from 1 species
CAGCAGCCACGGUAAAACGUAGGGUGCGAGUGUUAAUCGGAAUUACUGGGCGUAAAGCGUGCGCAGGCGGUUCGUUAAGACAGAUGUGAAAUCCCCGGGCUUAACCUGGGAAUGGCGCUUGUGACUGCAAAGCUAGAGUGCGGCAGAGGGGGACGGAAUUCCGCGUGUAGCAGUGAAAUGCGUAGAUAUGCGGAGGAACACCGAUGGCGAAGGCAAUCCCCUGGGCCUGCACUGACGCUCAUGCACGAAAGCGUGGGGAGCAAACAGGAUUAGAUACCCGUGUAGUCCCUGUCUCUUAUAC